rnacentral:rRNA from 1 species
UACAGAGGUCCCAAGCGUUGUUCGGUGAUUCACUGGGCGUAAAGGGUGCGCAGGUGGCGCUUCAAGUUUGAUGUGAAAGCUUCGGGCUUAACCCGGAAAUGGCAUUGAAUACUGGAGUGCUGGAGGUUUGGAGGGGGGACUGGAAUUCCUGGUGUAGCGGUGAAAUGCGCAGAUAUCAGGAGGAACACCGGUGGCGAAGGCGGGUCUCUGGGCCGAUGACUGACGCUGAGGAGCGAAAGCGUGGGGAGCGAACAGG